AACGAACGCUGGCGGCAUGCCUAACACAUGCGAGUCGAACGAGACCUUCGGGUCUAGUGGCGCACGGGUGCGUAACGCGUGGGAACCUGCCCUUAGGUUCGGAAUAACUCCCCGAAAGGGGUGCUAAUACCGGAUAAUGUCUUCGGACCAAAGAUUUAUCGCCUUUGGAUGGGCCCGCGUUGGAUUAGCUUGUUGGUAGGGUAAAAGCCUACCAAGGCGACGAUCCAUAGCUGGUCUGAGAGGAUGAUCAGCCACACUGGGACUGAGACACGGCCCAGACUCCUACGGGAGGCAGCAGUGGGGAAUAUUGGACAAUGGGCGAAAGCCUGAUCCAGCAAUGCCGCGUGAGUGAUGAAGGCCUUAGGGUUGUAAAGCUCUUUUACCCGGGAUGAUAAUGACAGUACCGGGAGAAUAAGCUCCGGCUAACUCCGUG
rnacentral:rRNA from 1 species